UACGGAGGGUGCGAGCGUUGUCCGGAAUCAUUGGGCGUAAAGGGCGCGUAGGCGGCGCGGGCAGUCAACGGUGAAAGCUCGGAGCUCAACUCCGAGUCGGCCGUCGAUACUCCCGUGCUUGAGCACUGUAGAGGCAGGUGGAAUUCCGGGUGUAGCGGUGGAAUGCGUAGAGAUCCGGAAGAACACCGGUGGCGAAGGCGGCCUGCUGGGCAGUAGCUGACGCUGAGGCGCGACAGCGUGGGGAGCAAACAGG
rnacentral:rRNA from 1 species